CAGGCCUUGAAAUCCCCUAGGAGUCUCCAAGUCAUCCAAGGGGUUUAUCAAAAUUCUUUAAAAUUUUUCUUUGGAUUUAUUUUUACUUAAACCCUGAAAAGGGGGAGAUUGGGAGGAAUUGUGAAAUGAAACAAAAAUGAGGUAUCACCAAUAGUAACAUUUAAUACUCAUAUGGUGCUGGGGGCCUUGGCGUGUUCUUUGCAUACCUGUUAACUCGUCCAAACCUCCCAGCUAACCCCUGAACUAGGUCCUGGGACCAUCCCCGUUCACAGCUGCAACUUGUAACAACUGGCCCAGUAUCAUGUGGUUACGAGGUGUCGAGAAAAAUCUCAUGGUGUCCCUGCUGGAUCCACUUCCUCUUUUAAAAAGUUACAUCAAUGGCUUUUUGAAUGAGACAUAAACCCCGCGAGGAAGUGUCAAACCUGACUGUUUUGCUGUUCUCUUGAACACGCGGUUUCCUGUUGAUGAAUGUCACAGAGAGCCGGUCUGAAAGCCUUGCAAUGCACAACCUACAAUACUGCACAUACCCAGUGUUGCUGGGACACUCUCUGGAACCAUCGAAUCUGUCUCCUAAUUUUUCCCUCUGCCAACUGACCCCACUCCCAGUUGGAUGAGGCGGCAGGGAGACAACUUGCUUCGUGUGGCUGUAGACGAGGACAAGGGGAGCACGGCGUGCGCACGUGCGUUCACGGAGGCUGUCGGGCGCUAGAUCCUCGUGGGACUGAAACUUCUGCGUAGGAGCCACGUUUCCCCGCACUUACUGCUCCCCUGUGUUACUCUUUCUCCGCCGUUAUCUUAGGGAAGAUGCUAGGAUUCUGGGUGUAGAAAUGAAACAGAGUUGGCUUAGUAAACAGGGUGAGAGACAAGAGGAGCUCUCCAGGUCACCCUGAAAACCAACCACCCCUUGCUUUUCACUUGGUUUAUGACUCCGAAGGUACAGGUCUACGGAGACAACUUUCGCAUCUUUCAUUCUGUGCGCAAAUAGCUCCCCCUGCUAUCUGCCACGUUCAUGUUCCUCCGCGAGGAAGCCGGGAUACGCCAGUGUGUCCGGGUGCAGGUGCGCCCCUGAAGACCGGUUCGCUCCUGGGCUCUCAUUUCAAAAAUAUUUAUUGACUUUUGGGCAAGUCAUUAUCGUUGCAGUGGCAAGAGAGAAGAAAGAUUUAGGAUACAGAGAUGAAGGGGAUAUGGGUCCUGCCACCUAGAAGAAUGCAGGCAGGCCAGUAGAAUCCACGGGCUAUCAGCAUGGACUCCACACACAUUAAUGACGUAGGCACAGGCAGUUACUUCGUUUUUCUGAGUUUUUGGCUUCCCGUCUGUAAAGAGGUGGUCACAACAGGAUAUACUUUAUGUGCUUGCAUGAGGGUACAGGUGAU
rnacentral:lncRNA from 1 species